rnacentral:rRNA from 1 species
GACGAACGCUGGCGGCGUGCUUAACACAUGCAAGUCGAACGGAAAGGCCCUGCUUUUGUUGGGUGCUCGAGUGGCGAACGGGUGAGUAACACGUGAGUAACCUGCCCUUGACUUUGUGAUAACUUCAGGAAACUGGGGCUAAUACCGGAUAGGAUCUCCUGCUGCAUGGUGUGGGUUGGUAAGUUUCGGCGGUUGGGGAUGGACUCGCUGCUUAUCAGCUUGUUUGUGGGGUAGUGGCUUACCAAGGCUUUGACGGGUAGCCGGCAUGAGAGGGUGACCGGGAAAAAGGGGACUGAGAGACGGAGCAGAAUGCAACGGGAGGCAGCAGUGGGGAAUAUUGCAGAAGGGGGGGAAGCAAGAGGAAGAAAGGCGGGGAGCGGGAUGAAGGGAUACGGGUUGAAAACAGAUUUGGAAUGAGAAGAAGAGAGAGUGACGGUAAUGGGUAAAGAAGCAACGGCUAACUACGUG